CUGAGCGAAUGUAGGGGUGAUUCCUUGAUAAUUAUAAAUGUCAUCAGCCCACAUCAUUGUGCCACUUCUUUGUACUCCAGCCUCUAGAUUAACAGCCUAAACAAACAUACAAAAUUUUAUAGAAGCUGUACAAAAUAUAGUAUAUAUGCGCAAUAUUGAAGCGUUCAAGGGGAUAUAAAGGUAAUGUACAUCACAUACACGUGUACUCUCAUUCAACAAAAUACAAUUAGAUUUAAUAGUAUAAGCUCUUUUAUUCAUCAUAAUAGAUUGGAAAUUUAAGUGUCUUACGAGGGUGAGUAAAAAGUUACCCGCUCUGUCGGUGUAGAAUUUAUUUUAAGCAAUUGUCAAAAAAGACAUACAUCAUUUUUUGACAUAAUCACUCGAUUUCUGUAUACACUUUGUCCAUUUGCCGAAGGACCUUCGUAUUUUCUCAUUAAAAAAUGUUUUGGGCUGAGCUGCGAACCACGAAUGCAUCGUCGUCUUCACCUUUUCAUCAGCUUUUUCGGCAUCCAUCUCGCACAAACUUUUUAAAAUCCAAAUCUGUCGUGCACUAUUGCAUAAGCAGAGCCGUGGCUGAUUUGCAAAUGAUUUGCCACAUUAUCCAGUGUCACUCGUCUAUUCCAUAGAGCAUAAGUUCAUGAGCACGUUCAAUGUUGUCAUCGUGGAUGUGGACGGGCGUCCAGCUGUUUUUUCAUAACACUUGUGCGAUCUUCUUUGAACUUUUGUGCCCAUUCAAACACACUUCGUGACAAAACACUUUCUCCAUAAUGUGCAUUAAAUCUUUGAUAAAUAUAGGCAUCAAACAUAACCUCCGACCACAAGAAACGAAUCACAGCAUCCUGCACUGUUUUCCUGCAAAUCACCAUUGCAAAGCGCCAUUACUCGCGCAACGGUCACAAACGAAUUGACGUAACACAAAGAAACCUGCGCAGCAGCACUGAACAGAUAUUGACGUCAUACGAAGAGUGCAGAUGGAUCAAUACGGUCGACAGAAGUUUUAACUAUCUGGAGUGCGGAUAAAUUUUUACUGAGAGUCGUAUAGGAAUCUAUAAUCUGGGGAGCAUCUCGGAAGCCAUGCCGGCUGACGAGUUCGCUGGAAAUCGAAACAGAAGCAAACCAAGACUGCAACCACCUUAACGAACCGCUAUUAUCACUGGCAAGGUCAUCGGGCAGACCGGAUCUAAUCAUGCUCACGCCGACCAUGCUUCCUGUGCACUCGUUCCUCUUUCUUAACGACGUCAACCAGAAGAUCGGGUGGUAAAAAAUUCGAAAUCGAGUUGAUUGAAAAUCUCAAGGAAUAUUAAAAAAAAAUACGAAUAAACAAUUUGAUAUAGAAAUCAUCCAUUUUGGGCAAAGAAAAGAAACAAUCAGAAAAAGGAAUAACCACAGAAGCUCUGAAUUUCAUUGCUUCCUAAUGGUACUUCCUUGGAUAUUUUUACAUUCUGGAGGCGUGAACGAACUCUGAAAAACAGAAACGACUUCUAUCGGAUGAUCGAAAGAACUACCUGGACACUGAGUAUAAUUAUUCACACGUGCGGAUGCCAUUUCCGGCAUGUUUCUCCAUGAAGAAGGUCAGCUUCAGUUUUUGCCACUUGUAGAUAGAAGUUGAAGUGGCGGACGUCUUAACGAGGUUGCUAGAAUGUCAAAGAAAUAGAUGAGGGAAAUAUUAUGAAGAUAUAUUUAUGAAUAUCUAAUUGAGCAUUUAAUUAAGAACUUAAUCGAAAGACCAAAAUAAGUUGGUUCUUGAGACCAAGUACCUAUCUAAGUAUAAUAGUCUUUUGUACUUACGGUUUAGUAAGAGGACUCGAGUAAAACGAUUACUCGUUAAAAGGAACAAUAGAAUAAUCAUGCCUCCGCAGACGGUGGUCUCUGCUUUCAUGCCUCAUCGCGGAGAAUCUCAGCGAAAAAAGUAUCCCGAAGCGUGAGCUGAAAGGUGGCUAUGUAGGCUGCCUAGUGAAUGCCGUCGCCAUGGUGGAGCUGGCGUGUAGCAACUCCCUAAGUCCAGGAAUCUAAUCCCGCGUCAGAAAGACAAAAUUCGCUACGGAGAAAAGUAAACAAAAAUAUAUAUAUAGGAAAGAAGAGACAAAGAUUAAAGAUCGUUAAGAAUUAAAGGUAAUUUAAUGAUAAAAGGGAGAAAGAAUUGUGUAAAAAUUCUACUGGGAAAGAAAAGAAAGAAGAAGCCUCCAACGAGAAAGACGUGCUCAGAAGCGAGUCCCGCGUAGCGCCAUGUAGAGGAGCAGGAAGAAAAUAUUGGUAAUCUCCUCGAACGACGAGCGCUUGAUAUUCACAAUUAGAACUCGAUAUCUUAGCUUCUUAUAAUAUCCUAAUAAAAUGUUAUUUAUCGAUUACAA